AGCAGCCGCGGUAAUUCCAGCUCCAAUAGCGUAUAUUAAAGUUGUUGCAGUUAAAAAGCUCGUAGUUGAAUUUCGGGGUCGGCAGGUUGGUCGUGCCACUGGUAUGUACUGGCCUUGCUGAUUCCUCCUUCUUGUAGAACUAUGAUGUCAUUAAUUUGGUGUUGCAGGGAAACAGGACUGUUAUUUUGAAAAAAUUAGUGUUUAAAGCAGGCUAACGCUUGAAUACAUUAGCAUGGAAUAAUAAAAUAGGACGAUCGAUCCUAUUUUGUUGGUUUCUAGGAUUGACGUAAUGAUUAAUAGGGAUAGUUGGGGGCAUUAGUAUUCAAUUGUCAGAGGUGAAAUUCUUGGAUUUAUUGAAGACUAACUACUGCGAAAGCAUUUGCCAAGGAUGUUUUCAUUAAUCAAGAACGAAAGUUAGGGGAUCGAAGACGAUCAGAUACCGUCGUAGUCUUAACCAUAAACUAUGCCGACUAGGGAUCGGAUGAUGUUAAUUUUUAAUGACUCAUUCGGCGCCUUAAC
rnacentral:rRNA from 1 species